UACAGGGGGUGCAAACGUUGCUCGGAAUCAUUGGGCGUAAAGCGCACGUAGGCGGUUCGUUAUGUCGGAUGUGAAAGCCCUUGGCUUAACCGAGGAAGUGCAUCCGAAACUGGCGAGCUAGAGUACGAAAGAGGAUCGCGGAAUUCCCGGUGUAGAGGUGAAAUUCGUAGAUAUCGGAAGGAACGCCGGUGGCGAAAGCGACACGCUGGACCUCUACUGACGCUGAGGCGCGAAAGCCAGGGGAGCAAACGGG
rnacentral:rRNA from 1 species